CAAUACUGUCGUCUGAGUAAAGUGGCGAACGGGUGAGUAACACGUAGCUAACCUGCCCUUCAGUGGGGAAUAACCCUGCGAAAGUAGAGCUAAUACCGCAUACAGUCCCUGGAGCAUAUGCCCCGGGGAGCAAAACUGGCAACGGUGCUGAAGGAGGGGGCUGCGGACGAUUAGCUUGUUGGCGGGGUAAUGGCCCACCAAGGCUACAAUCGUUAGCCGGCCUGAGAGGGCGCACGGCCACACUGGAACUGAAACACGGUCCAGACUCCUACGGGAGGCAGCAGUGGGGAAUUUUGCACAAUGCCCGAAAGGGUGAUGCAGCAACGCCACGUGGAGGAUGAAGGUUUUCGGAUCGUAAACUCCUUUCGACCCGGAAGAAGGUCCGGCUUCGGUCGGGCUUGACGGUACGGGUGGAAGAAGCCCCGGCUAACUACGUGCCAGCAGCCGCGGUAAUACGUAGGGGGCAAGCGUUGUUCGGAAUUACUGGGCGUAAAGGGCGUGUAGGCGGUUCGGCAAGUCUCGUGUGAAAUUUCCCCGCUUAACGGGGAAAA
rnacentral:rRNA from 1 species